rnacentral:rRNA from 1 species
AUGGUGAUGGUUGACCGCAAGCGGAAGGCAAAAGCAACUGAUGACAUAGCUCCUAGGGCCACUCGUCAGAAAACCAUGCACGAGAUGCUCGCUACUUCAUCUCCAUGCAACCUCACUGGGCCUGAUAUACCAAGUGGAUUAGUUGACACGUCUAUGUACUAUGUGAUGACUGAAGAUCAUGUGAUGCAACCGCUUAUUGAUGAAGCUGGUGCUGCCGACGAGGGUUCGCAUGCAAAAUACAUUGCUAAGUACACUCCGAUCGGCAACAAAAGGCUUACUCUCCCUGGGGUUGAGGGAAGCCCUGAUCCGACUCCUAAUCUACUUGCUGUAGUUCAUCCAGAUGCAUACCUGAGUCCAGAACUAGACUACGGUUACUCGCCUUUCGAGCUUGAGCUAAAUCAGUUUCAGUACCCUGAUCAUGUUUGCCUUGGGUUCUACGACAAUGUGGAGUAUCUCUGUUGCAUUACUUCUCUUGGAUGUGUUUGGUAUGAAAGCUCACACCCCACACCUUUGAAACUUGAUGGCAACAAGAUAAAGUACCAGUUCAGUCUCAAAGGGAUGGAGGCUUGGGUACGUGGAUUCAAUGAGAGAGAGAUUAAGAUGAUGGAUAUGGUUGGAUUACCAGUUUGGAGGGGUUUUGUAUCUCCUAAUGUGCCGUUGCACUUUGAGAACAUCUUGGACCCGGAGGGGGCUGCUGUGCUGCGGAUGCUGCUUUCUUCUAGGAGCAUUGGAUAUUAG